AGCAUCUAGGGAGCAGAUUGGGAGACCUAGAAGGGAAGUAAAGAAGUGAGGAAGGAAAUGGUGUAGGGAAAACUGCACUCUGGGUAGAGGAUUUGAUUUAGCUGUGCAGUACAGGGCCCUGGGCUGUAACCCAGAAUUGAGGUUGGGACUGGAUUCCCCUACCAGCCCCAAGGAAGUGGCGUACAAGGGUAGGUGAGCCUAGCGAGGGGGCUGCAGGCCGAAUGUGACUGGACUGAAGAAGAGCUGUGGAGAGGGUGGAAGCUUUUGAUCUCUGUUAAGAGAGUUUUGAACUUUCGUCUGGGUAGCUGACCCUGGAAGGAAUGGGCUAAAGACUGUGCCCUGGCUGGAGGGAUAUGAGUUCUCCAAAAGAAACCACCACAGCCCCAGAGUGAAUGUUGACAAGGGCUGCUACCCCCCCCCCCCCCCCCCCAAGGACACUGUGAUGCCAUGCCUGGCCAUGAGGAAGUGCAGAGUAGUCUUUGGAAGACAUUUCAUACAAAAUGAAAUCACAGAUUGCCUACUUGAAAUGGGAUAAGUAUUGCGGGACCUCAAAGCAAAUCCUACAGUGGGGAGACGCUGCAGUGCAUUGAACAUGGCCGAAUAAGCUGUUGCCAAGGUGAUGCUGUCAGGAGUUGUUCCAACACCCUGGACCAGUUGAAGUUUCUUCUCGAUUGGGCUGAUUGAGGAAGUAGAGUGGAAGGUAAAAUCAUGUAUUGCUGCAGCCAGGGUUUCAUCUGGGAUGGGCAGAGGGGCUGUUUCCUGCUUCUGUUGUGCAUAGCUGGAUGUAUAAAACAAAUCUGUUUCUUUUCCAAUUGUUUUCCCCUCUCUUUAACAUAGACAUGAUAACUUGUUGUAGGGAGUUCGGACAACUCACCAUAAUGGUGUCCCUUGGCAUGCACUAUUUUAUUUAUAAAAGUGGAUAUUAUUGUUCCUGACCUUCUGGGAAGGACUAAUGGACAGGCAGUGGAUACUGAAGAGGUGGAGCCACUAUUUCAAAGCCAGUCAAUAAAUUACCUAUCUGCUUUAGAAGUAGGUUUUAGUUUCCUGUUUGAGUGCUAGCUAACAGAUCUUUUAGGGCCAAACUUCGGCAUUUGCAGAAAGUCUCAUGCAAAUCCAGAAAGGACAUGUAACUGACCAAUUUGCCAUGCAAAUAAA